rnacentral:lncRNA from 1 species
CAAUUCGGGGGUUGCAUCCAUGGCACGAAAGAAGGGCUUGCUUGCGAGGACCACAUGAAUAUGUAUUUAGCCUUGCAUGAACUAUAUACUACUGGAUAGAUUUUAGAUAUUUAUAUAGGAUAAUAAGAAACUCAAAUAAUAAUUUUUUUUUGAUGAUAACUCAAAUAAUAAUUUUUAGCUGGUUUUUUUUAAUAGUAUCAUAGAUCGUUACAAAAUGGUAUCAAAGU